CCUACGGGUGGCAGCAGUGGGGAAUAUUGCGCAAUGGGGGCAACCCUGACUCAGCAACGCCGCGUGAAGGAAGAAGGUUUUAGGAUUGUAAACUCCUUUUGUUAAGGAAGAUUCUGACGGUGUCACACGAAGAAUCAGCCGCUAACUCCUUGCCAGCAGCAGCGGUAAUACUGAGGGUGCAAGAUUUGCUCUGAGUCACUUGUCGUAAAGAAUGCGUUGGCGGGGUAAUAAGUCAGAUGUGAAAUCCUGUGGCUUAACUCACGAACUGCAUUUGAAACUGUUGUUCUGGAGUGUUGGAGAGGUAUGUGGAAUUCUGGGUGUAGGGGUAAAAUCCGUAGAGAUACAGAGGAAUACUAAUUGCGAAGGCGACCUGCUGGACAAUUACUGACGCUGAUGCACGAAAGCGUGGGGAGCAAACAGGAUUAGAUACCCGGGUAGUC
rnacentral:rRNA from 1 species